UGGGCUGCUGGUCAACCUCAGGAUCUACUAAAGAUGACGCAAAUGCCGACUGAACAAUCUGAAACCCAAAGGACUCGAGGAGAGACAUGUUCUGCUGAGGAGAGAAAGACUCAACCUCCUUCCCUGGCUGCUGAAUUUCAUAUGCCAGUUAAUCAACCAGCAAAAGCUCUCAAGCCGGACCAACCUCUUUUUCUCCCACUUUGGGACCUACUAACUCCCCCACCAACCUCAGUGGUUCAGUGGUGUCUGCAAAAUGCAUCCAUCCUGCCAUCUGAGUAGCAGAACUGUAAGAGAAAGCAACAUUCACCUUUGUGUCACAGAUCAAAUGGUAACCCACUGAAGACCACCCCAUUACCUUGUGCUAGAACGGAACUGCCUCUGCCAUCUCUCUUUAACAGAAGCACAUCCUGAGAACCUGAGAGCUCAAGGUAAGUGGCUGAACACUGUCAACACAUACAGGCAUCUAACUAUCUCCUUACUGUACAGCCAUAGCAAGAAACAAACGCAUGCAAUGCUGUCAAGGUAGAAGACACCACUGUUUACUACCCCAGUCCCAAAUAUCUGUGUACGUUAGCACAGCCUACCUAGCUCUUCUGUCAUUGUCUUUUUAAGUAAACAUUAUACAUUUGAACUGAAUUUGUA